rnacentral:rRNA from 1 species
GAGUUUGAUCAUGGCUCAGAGCGAACGCUGGCGGCAGGCCUAACACAUGCAAGUCGAGCGGCCGUAGCAAUACGGCAGCGGCAGACGGGAGAGUAACACGUGGGAACGUGCCCUUCAGUUCGGAACAACCAAGGGAAACUUUGGCUAAUACCGGAUACGCCCUUACGGGAAAGAUUUAUCGCUGAAGGAUCGGCCCGCGUCUGAUUAGCUAGUUGGUGGGGUAAUGGCCCACCAAGGCGACGAUCAGUAGCUGGUCUGAGAGGAUGAUCAGCCUCACUGGGACUGAGACACGGCCCAGACUCCUACGGGAGGCAGCAGUGGGGAAUAUUGGACAAUGGGCGCAAGCCUGGAUCCAGCCAUGCCGCGUGGGUGAUGAAGGCCCUAGGGUUGUAAA